GAAGAGUGGGCCGUGGAAUGGAGCAUACAGUACUCGGACUCUGGGAGGAGACUCGACCGAGCAGAUACUCACAAAUGAAACGACCGUGACGCCCAAGCCGUUUUCUCCCUUGGCGUUUUUCGCGUGUGGUGACCUUCAGCUUUUGCUCUCGCUAGCCGGACAGCCGGGUUGCGGUCUAUAGCUGAGACAAAGGGUGGGCCUUCGGUACCGUACAGGCUACUAAGCCGUCCCAUGGAAACGAACAUAUCGGGCAAAG
rnacentral:lncRNA from 1 species